rnacentral:lncRNA from 1 species
AACUAUGUGACAGAUGCAAGAGAUACACGAGAAUUGAAAAUGCGGCGAGACAGUCGGGACUUAAAGAGAGCUAACUAGAUUACUAUGUAUUCCGGAUCAUCAAUCAGCUUCUUCACACUUCUCCUGAAAUCCGAAAGGUCUUCAUCCAAUGUCUUGUUAUUUGCAACACAUACUCUUCUGAUGGAUAAAUGCCUGUCGACUUCCGUUUGUUGUCGAUCAUAUUCCUGCAUGGUUGCGACGACAUCCCGAAGCUGUUGCUUCAUAGACCUCCCUUCACGCUGAACUUCAAGUUGGGUCGAUUCUAUCUGGCGUUGAACUUCAGCAAGAAGCGCUUCCAGUCUUUCUUUCUCCUCUGUAAGCUCAGCCUUCCGGUCCACGGCAGCCUGAUAAGAACUGCGAUGUUCUUUUAGAGUUUGCUUUCCUGCAGUCAGUCGGUCUUCCAGUUUGUCGAAACCUUCUUCAGCAGCUAUCGACGACUCUAUCUUGUCACAGUUCAGUCUAUAGACUUCAGUGCCAUACGCAAAAUGUUUGGCAAACUCUUCGCACUCAUGCCGAAAUUCAGGAGUCUUGAUGAAGCAGUCUUCGCCAGAACUCAACUCAGCAAGCAGAUGUUUUAUUCUGCAUUCGAGGGCUGAGUUAGAAGCAAUCUGGGAGUACCCUCCUUUUGUCAGCUGGUAUAACUCCUCCCAUUUAGCCUUAACAUCAUCGAAAGCCAUGGGUGUCGAAGAGUCAGAAGGGUCAGAACUAGAAGGGAGGGGCUCUUCAUAUCUUGGUUCUAUUACUCCCAGGAUUUCGUCUACUGCAUCUAGAUCAGCCGACUCGACGUCUGAAAGAUCAGCAGUCGAUUCUUCAGCUGGUUCUGGUGUUCGCACACUUGAUUGAUGAACUGCGCCUAUGUUUGCUUCCUGCAAAGGUGUAGUAGAUGUCGAUGUCGGCAUGGCCAUGGACACAAUCUCUGAAGGUAUAGCAGCUGCGGAGCUGAGGCUUGAUGUUGUUCUAAAAUAAGUGCAUAAGAAAAAUGAAAUAAGCUGAAAAAUUCUGACGCCAACAACACAUGCUCUCGGACUGACAUUAUAUGUUUAUCAUUGAACAAAAGGAAAUGAAAUUAAGUAACAUAAAAUGAUGCCAAUGAUCUCAAACGGAAUAUAUUAAUCUCAAAAAAAAGAAAAAGAAAAAGAAACAAACAAAUGGUAGGGAGAAGAUAGGAAAGUGUUUAUGAAAUCCUUCCUGUAUUAAAAAAAAAACAAAAGCAGGUUCUUCAAAAAUAUUCUAGAUGAAACAGAUAGUUAGAUAAAGCAAAGCUAGUAGAUAAAGCAAACUUACAUGAAUGAGAAUUCUUUAGAAACAAACAAAGAAAGGAGUUAAUCCUUAAAUGAAUACUCGAAAAACUAGGCACUAAUUGCCUUGAAUAUGCGAAACAAAUACCAAGAUAUCCAUAGAUAUGGAACAAGAAAGUGUCAUGCCAUGUUAUGAAGUAAAAAGUACAUUAGUUAGCUAUCAAGACAGCGAAUACAGACCCAUUACUAGAAGCUACGCUAAGAGAUGAUGUAGGAGCUGCAGUUGUACUGGCACUAGAAGCUGUUGUUGCUGCAGAAGUUGUAGCAGGGGCACCUUAAAAAGAGGUUGUCAAAAAUUAUUCAACACAACAUCCCAUUCCUUAAGCAUAAAACCAGAAAUGCACAACAACGUAUCAGCUUCCUGUGUUAGUUUCUACAUGAAUUAAACAUAACAAUACCGUGUAUGCCAUAUUUAUGUGCUAAGAGAUGAUAAGAAGAUGCGAACUACUCGGCAAGUCAAGAAUGCCUAUAUUAUGACAACAAUCCAACAAUCCAAGUGCCCAGGACAAGCAGCACAGGGAAGUCAAUGUCAUAAAAAAAAGGGAAGAGCUGCGAUGAGAUACUGCAAAAGGUGCAAACUCCCUGCAUAAUGAUUUUUUUGGUUUCAUUAACGUAGCAUGUGCACCGGAAUAAUAUAUUUCGAAGCAGAAAUGGGGAUAACUUCCAGAUAAUACCAUGAAGAGUAUUUCUUCUUUUUACCAAGCUUAUGCAGAAACGUUAAAAAGGAUUCAACAAUUAAUUUUUUUAUAAUUUUUAGUGUAAAGAAAUGAAAGGGUCAGAUUCUAUUCGUGAUUGCAGCAGCAAGUCACGUCUUGGCAUGAACAUUUCUCCUUACAAUAAUAUUUUCAUAGAACUUAUUGUAAUAGGUAACUAUACAGUCAAGACUCCUGUAUGAAGAACUAGAGAAUGACAGAAUAAAUGUAUGUGCAAGCAAAAGAUUGCGUGUUUAUACAAAGCAAAGGGAAAAAAUAUCUGUUCCGUGUUACCCACCUUGUGUUCACCAAUAUUGCAACGCAUAUAGCAACCCCCAACCCCAAAAACCCACAAAACCAAAAAAGUAGUAAAAUGAAAAAUGGAAACUCUUUCUUCACUGCAAGCACCUCUAGAAGCACUGUGCACAAGGAUGCUCAAGUAUGUGUCGAAAGUAUACAUGUGACAACUGGACAACGAACAAUGCCAAUGAGUGUCCCCAAGGGAAGAUGGGAUAUUGUGAUUAGAAGAUCCAUUUACUUCUUAUUCAGGACUUUUUAACCUACUGCUUCACAUUUGGAGCCACUAAGAAAAUCUUUUGAUUCACAUAUGGAGGUAAUGAAAACGGUGAGAGGAAUCAGGAUCCACAAACUGAUAUCUCAUCGUACUAACCAAAACAGACAACAAGGCAACGCCCUUGAAACUAGAAGGAAUAUGCACAUGUAGAAUAAGCAUGCGUCAUGAUGCAGAGCAGACCUACAAUUGGCACUUCUUAUGUAUUUACGAGGGAAUUUCAACUUCAUCAUGCUAGUUCAAACGCAGUCUCAGUAGAAACUCACUAAAAGCAGAGACGGUGGUGGCAGAAGGUGCUUGAGAUGAAGCUGUCCCAAACAAUGGCGCCCUAGAACUAGCGGCUGAAGCAGUUCCUCCAAAUGAGCACGCUAUAAAGCAGGCCGCGGAGGAAGACGGCGUCCCAAACAAAGGCGGAGCGGCGGUUGUAGUCGACGUUGAUGACGACGUUGGAGCCGCACCGAACGGUGGCGAGCUUGCACUCGAAGACGUUCCGAAAAGAGGCACACCGGAAGUGGCCGCUCCAGAAAAGGACGAACCCGAGCUCGCACUGAAAGAGGGCGCAGGCGUACCGAACAGAGAAGAAGCGGAGGUCCCCGACGAGCAGAACAAUAUCGAAGGAGAACUCGACUCGAACGGCGACACGCUCACGGCAGGCUGAGCCAUUCCGAAGGGCGACGAUCCUCCGGACGCGGCCGACGACGGCGUGCCGAAGAGCGACGGCGCCGAAGCCGCCGGCGUGGAGCCGAAUGAGAACGAAGGAGCGGAGAACGCCGACGAAAUCGACGAAGAGGAAGAGAGGCGAAAGAAGGGAGCGGGAGCGGGGGACGAGCUAGGGUUGGAGACGGCGGCGGCGGCGAAGGGAGAGGGAGAGGCGGAGGAGGGGGCGAAGAAGGAGAGAGGGGAGGCGGAGGCGGAGGCGGAGCUAGGGUUUGCGGCGGAGGAAGGAGCGAAGGUGAACCCAGAGGAGGAUCCGAAGGGGGACGCGGUUGCGACGGAGGAGGACCCGGCCGCGGCGGCGGAGGGCCCGAACGAGAAACCCGACAUCGUCGGAGCGGUUACUUUCUUUCCCUCCUUUCUUUCUCUGUAAGUUAGAGAGAGUGCGUAAAAAUGACGGGGGGUUUAGGAGAAGCGGGCCGCGCCAUGGGGUUUUUGGUCCCUCAAUUUUUUGAAUUUUUUGAAUUUUUUUAUAUAUUGACAAAAAUAUAAAAAUGAUAAUUUCACUAUUAUUUAAAUCCCAAAAACAGUCCGACCAAAAAAAAAAAAUAAUCCAAAAACAGACAUUUAGGAUGCAUUUCGUAACCAUUCUAUUUCGGGAACAAUUUCUGAGCAAAAGAACACGUUUGGUAACUGCACAAAAUUUCUGAUUCUAGAAUAGAAAAAAAAAAUACAUUUUGUAACUAUAUAAAAUUUCCAUUCCAAUUUUUUUCAAUUACUUUUUUGGAUGAAUAUAAAUUUGAUAUUGAAUUCUCAUAAACCAUUCAUUGAUAUAAUUGUUUUCUUAUUAAUGAAGAAAUCAUAUUAUAUUUUAUUAUAUUUUCAAUUUCAAAAGAAUUCGAAUUUAGAAUUCUAUUCCAUUCUAAAAUUCUAUCAAAUCAUAGAAAUUCUAUUGAUUAAUUAUAUUUAUACUAAGUAAUAAAAAUAUUAACUAAUCAAAUUUUUAUUAAAUAGUAAAUAAUAAACUAUAUUAUAAACUAUAAAUAUAAAUACUAAAUAAUAAAUUAAAAUAGAUAUUUAAAUAUGUAUUCUAUACAUAGCAAAAUUUCAAUUCCUACUUUAAAUUUUUUUAUUUUUUAAAUAAUUUUAUUUAAAUAAUUCUUCUUCUUCUUCUUCUUAGGCCAAGCUCGCUCAGCCGCCAGCGGGGCUUAACCUCGCCAGAUAUGGCCGAGGUUGAGCCUCACCUGGCUAAGCGAGGCUCGCUGGUGGCUGGGCGAGCCUUCGGCAAGCUCGCCGGUGACUAGUGGCAACGGACAGCAACAGGCGGUGGCAACACUUGAAGAACAAGGGAGAGGGAAGAAGAAAAAGAAAAAAAAAAUAGGUCGACUUAAUUCUAGAAUUGUUCCUGGGAACAAAAUUUUUACCAAACGCAUUUCUGUUCCAAAUCUACUCUUAGGAACAAAAAACUGAAACAAGCACUGUUUGGCAAGUCAAAUAGGCCCUUAGCUCUGUUUGGCAACUUGCCAAAUAAUAACAAUUUCUAUUUUUUUUUAUUCCCGGGAGUAGAUUUGGAAUAGAGAUUCAUUUGGUAAAUUUUUUGUUCGCGAGACCAAAUUUCUAUUUUUUGUUCUCGGAAGUAGAUUUUGGAAUAAAAUCGAGAAGUAAAAAAAGUUGAUUCUUUAUUCCCAGGAACAAUUCUAAAUCAAGUUAACAUAUUUUCUCUCUUUUCUUUUUUUUUUUCUUCUUGUUCUUCUUCCCUCUUUCUUCUUCUUCAAUGCUUCUACCGCCGCUGUUGUCGCCGCCGUCUGCCACCCACCGUCGCCGAUCGCAAGCGAUUGGUUGGGCCAAGUCCAGAGAGCUCACCAAGGGCCGAGAGUGCUCCGGUGAAGCCCAAGCCCUAAGCGUCGACUGGUUUACUUUAUUUUAGUGACUGAACUCUAAAUUUUCCGGGAAAUAAUCCAUAGUAAGGACAUGGAGACUUUUGGGUCUGUUGAUUAUUUUUGUCGUCCUUAGACAUAUUUUCUAAAGAGCACAAGGCCUGUUUAGCUCUUGCGGAGUUUCUUUGAACAUGCUAUGGAGCAGGUCCGGUGACAUUUUCGAAAUUGUUUCUAGAUGGAACAAGGAAACUGUUUCCAGUUUUAAAUUUUGAAGAAUGAAUUUGUGAUGUUGUAUUUACUUCUUUAAAGUUAAAAGCAUUGUAAUCUCCAGGUAAAACACUUAGUAUAUAUACACUCGAGUCCUCUAAGUCUAAGCUGAUCUCGCGCUUCCGCUCUUGAAGGUGAGUUUAGAUUCAACACUUCUUUGAAGCAACGGUAUGUGUCCUAUCUACUUCUCCUGAAAUUGAGUAGUUAUCUCUUUUCCCUCUCUGUACUUUCUUUUUCUUGAAAAAUAUAUUUGAACCGAUACAUGUUGUUUGGGUGAGUACGCUCAUUAAGCUUAAUAUUACAGAUCUAAACCCUUCAUUGAAGCUGUAGUUUCAUGAAGCUUUAAAUAAAACUCCAUUGUAAAGCUUCAUUGUGAUAGAUUAUAAACAUCCCUUUUAUGUGAAUUGUGUAGGUAAGGCAACAACAAGGAAAAAAUAUAUGUCAACUGUCUAGAUAGAAAGUUGUGAACUUCAUGUACUUGUAGCUGCAAACUUCUAGACUGAAUCUCAUGCAAUGCAUUCAAUCGAGGAUAUAUUAAUGAUUAAUGUUUAGUCUAUCAGACUUAAGUAACUAGUGCAUAUAUUAUCAGAUAUUUGUAUAUUUAGAACAGAGUAUUAUUUUCAUAUAUGAAAGCUAGCUUAGGAAUUUCAUCUUAUUUUAGGAUUUUAUUUGCGUGCAUUAUUUAAUUAGUGAUAAAGGUACAGAGUUUCAAGUGAUUUUUUUUUGGUAAAAAAGUUUCAAGUGAUUUAAUUAUUCCGAAUGCUGAUACUAAAUAGAUUAGAUAAGAUGUAUGUGUAGUGGAUGAUUAGGCAUUGUGAUGAAAGAAAUGAUACAAAAGAUGAUGAAAGAAAUGAUACAAAAGAUUCUCUUUGAAGGGACGAUGCUAGAUAAACCUGACAUCAUUGACCCAUGGACUAUUUUCUUUGGUACAUAUGUGGACAUUCUGAUGGAGGAGAUGACCCAAAAGAUUGGUUUCCCCGGGAGUCAAAAGUAAAAUUAGAUGGUUCGAUUUGUCUUUUGAUAGUAGGAUGCCCCAAAGCAGCUGGAGAAUUGACAUUGGACUUCAUAAUUUGAGGAAAUGCCAAAGACAAGUGAACUUGUUUAAUAAUCAAGAAAUCUUUGAAAAGCUUUGUGAAAUCAAAUUCCCAUACUUGAUACUUGAACGCUAAUGGUUACUUCCGAGUUUUUCGAAGAGAAUGAGGGAGGUAGAAGAAAUGUUUUACAGCUUUCAUUUUAAAGGUUUUAGUUGCAUGAAUUUAAUUGAGAUUAUGGUUUCCAUCUUGGAGAUGAGGUGAGCUCUUGUGGCACAGCUUUUAUUUUGAUAUCUCAAACUUUGAAUUUGUUGUUUUCUUUAUCAAAGAGAAAAAGAAUGUUAUAAAAAAUAUUGUUGUUUUCUUUUCUUUGUUAAGGAAAACGGCUCUAGAUCAAUAAACAAUCAAAAUCUAUGUUCACAAUAAGCUACACGUUAUCUCUAAGUUGGCAUCUCUUCAAAAUUUACACUUGGCUGCCGGAGCUUUUGAAAAUAAUGCCACUAAAGUCUUUAAAAAUAAAGCUUAGAAUAUUUUCUUCUACCAGUUUCCUGAUCUCUUUUCAAGUGCUCUAUCAUCUCUCCAUUCAAUUCUUGCUGUCAAAACUGAUCAUUAGCCCAUACUGCUCUCGAAGGAAUUCCUAUGGUCAAAUAGAUAAACCCGAGACUAAUAAUACGAAACUCAUUGUGAGCCUGAAUUUUGGUUUGGAUGAAAAUGGUUGCAAGUUUUCUUUCCUCUUACGUUAUCUGAUAUCACAAAAUUUCAUUUGAAUGUCAACUUUUGCCUUUCCAGUAUAGGACAUGUUUCGGGAGGACAUAAAGAUUAGCAGCAAUCUUUCUCUAUGGUUUUUAGGUUUAAUACAUCUCUGGUGCUUUUCAUCAUGCCUGCCCAUGAAGAGCAAGGGUUAGAUAAUUCUAAUAUAAGCCAUGGCAUGCUUCAAUUGUGAAUUUAAUGUGAGACAUAUAAAGACGGGUUAACAAAUUUGAUUCACAGGGGUGCAUGGAUAUGACUUGCUUGUUAAAACAGCUAGUUAUAGUUUUUCACAUUAGAAUACUAGUUUUUUAAUGAAGCUCUACGCCUCUAGCAUUGCCCUUUUAGUUAUGCAAUAUUCAAUUGCCUCCAUAUAGAUGCCCAACAUGAUAAUGCCCUUCUAGUUAUGCAAUAUUCAAUUUCUUCGAUAUAGAUGCACAACAUGAUAAUUAACAAUGUGAAUUCUGUGAUGACAUUCUUAAGAUAAUGUACAUGAGUUUACUGCAGCAUUAUACAAAAUAUACUAGUUUCCUUUAUCUCUUCCAUAAUAGAAAUGUUCAGUAAAACCUCAAUGGUGUCGGUCGUCUCCAUAUACAUGAAUGGUAGCCUGCUUUAAUAUUGAUCGUGUUUCAUAGUACAUUUCAUCCGAAAUAAUUUUUCACCUACACAGCAAGUUGUAUUUCUUAAAUUAUUUUUUUCUGAGUUCUUACAUUGAUGUCAUAAAGAGAACUUAAACCAGGUCAAAGCCUGGCAUCAAUUGAUGCACAUAGUUUUUGAGAAGAUAUACCGCUAUUUGUACAAACAGCAGAUCUUGUGUAAAACGUAAUUUUUCUGAAAUUUGCCAUAAUUAACGAGAAAUUAUUCCAAGGUCGAUCACACGUACAUGUAAUAGUUUGACAUUGUGGUUGUAAUUUGAUAUAUAUACCGUCGUUGUAAUCCUUAUGCACUUAUCACUAAUAAUCGCAGGCCCUGAUGAACAAUUUUGAUCCUAUUUUGUAACUAAUUUCAAGAUAAGCUUGUUCGCUUAUGUUUUUGGUAAGGAGCUUGUUCGCUUAUGUUUAGCUUAAGUAAAAUGUACUUUUUGAAUUUCCCAUCAAUCUUUAAUAUAUAAUUUUAAAUUUUUAAAAAAAUGUAUAUGUAACUAUAUAUGUCAGUAUCAGUAUAUCACUAAGAAGUCGGUGCAUUCGUGUCAAGAUCUAAAUUAGAUACAAAAAGUCAAAAAGAAAAAGUACAUGCAAACACAUUAUAACAUUUAUCAGAAAAUCUUUCACUUUGUUUCGAUUAAACUCAGUGGAUAAGCUAGAGAAACGAGAAGCAUUACUUUAUCGAAACAAAACUUUCAAUUUUCACUUUCAUUGUCACUCUCACAAUUUUUGCCCAGAAAGGCACUUAAUUCGAAUACGUUCUAACCUUUGCAAUCGAUAUAUUAUUUUGGUUUUUAUCACGAUGAUCUAUUUAUUCAUCUUUGAAAAUGUAUCCCCCCUAUAGAGUAAUUCUAGUAGGCUAUUAAAAGAGAGUGCCUCCAGUGCUACUUUUUGAUUGUUUUAGGAAACUGAUAAUUUUUCAUUAAAUAUUCGAUACUACUUCGGUUUGUGUUGAAACCGCAAGCGAAAGUGAUUUUACGGUUGUUAUAUCAAGCCUCAAUCACUAAAUUUUUCAAAUUUCAAUAGGCCGACUGAACUAAUUUUGUUAAGUAACUCGUUAUAUUUUAUACUAUCCUAGCCCUUGCAAAGUUAUCUUCCACUUGAAACUUUGCACCGUAAAUGGGAUCGCAACAUUUGAACGAAUUAUAAGUAACUGUGGCAUAUGAGAAAUUCAAAAUAUUAAUCCUCCAUAUUUGUUUAUAUCUUGCAUAUUCCAACCUUUUAUUAUUAUAUCUCUUACAAAUCUCACACCAUAUAUUAUAUCUCUUACGAAUAUCACACCAUAAAAAUUUGAUUCCUUACAGUAUUUUCAACUUAAUUUUUAUUUUACAGAUUUUUAAUAAUAUUGUGAGGCCAAUAUUGUUUAUGGGUACUGAAAAUUAAUUAAAGAACAGGUCUACUUUACUUGAUUUAUAUUGUUGUUUUCAAAAUCUCAUGUAUUUUCCGGGUUUGAUGAGCAUUGUAUGAAUAAUAUUUGACUGUGCAUGCACUGCACAAUUCACCGGCAUAUGCUAAAAGAUCGACUCGUGUAAAUGCCAACAACAAAAAAACUCUAUUUAUAAAAGGCAAUUACAUACAUUUAAGUUUACAAACUUCAUGAGGGAAACUGGCGAAGCAAAAUAGGGCCAACAGGAUUAGGCACCAUCACGCAAUGAGGCCUCACACACCCACCGACGCAAGCUCUCCCCACUGGCUCAGCGUGAUCUCUCUGGGCUUCUCGGGAUCUUUGCGGAGUAUAACUUUGACUAAUUUCUUCAGCCCCAUGUAACCCAAUGACGGGUUCCGCCACCUCCCCACCGCCAGCAUACGGAGAUCAACCAUGCGCAACACAGCAAGCCCAUAGUCGUCGCUCAGCUUUGUUGCGACAUCCUCGAUGCCGACACCGACGAAUGUAUAGUUGGGAUUCGUGAGAAAUGCAUGGACACUGUGUAGUUGGGAUUCGUGAGAAAUGCAUGGAGAGACCCAGGGAUGUACUCGGCGUGGAGGAUUUGAAAGAUGAGGCGACUGUGGCCGACGCACAGUUGCAGUGUAGCCACAGGGUGGAUGACGCCUGGCUCGAGGUUCGGGCGCCACUCAAUGUCGAGGCCAACGACAAGCCGAUUCAGCCAAGGCAGGUAGGCUCGCUCCACGUCGUUGAUCCAACGUGUGACGAUGGAGGGGUCGUAGGUGAUGCAAGCGUAAAUUUGCUGGCCGUAGGAGGUGAUCUUGUGAAGAGAAUGCAUCUUGACGGGUUCUGAAACGUGAGAAAUGAGGAAGACAGGACUGUCGAGUGGCGAUUAAAAAAACUGAGAGAGCAGAGAGUAUCGCAAGUGAGAAAACUAGAAACUGUUAUUAUGUUGGGUUUAGAAUUGAGGACGUGUGCGUUAAGGGGUUGUUUGGUAACCAUUCAAACAGUACCUGAUUUUGAUUUUUGUUCCCAAUAGUAGUUUUGGAAUAGAAUCGCGUUUGAUUAAAUUUUUGUUCCCUAGAAUAAAUUUCUAUUUUUUUGUUCUCAGAAGUAGAUUUGGAACAUAAUAAAAAAAAAAAAUUGAUUCUUGUUCCGGGAACACAUCUAAGAAUCAAAAUCAACUCUUCUUCUUCUUCUCUUUUCUUCUUCUUCAUCAACCGCCAUCUCGCAAUUGUUGUCCACCGCCGUCCACUGCUGUCGCCACCGGUCCGGUGAGCUCACCGGGCUAGGGUGAGGUCCGAAGAGGCACGCCCAGCCUCGCCGGUGGCCAGGUAGGCCUCGCCCAACCCCGCCGAGGCCGACCUAGCCAUCGGCAAGGGUCGGCCAAUGAGGGUUGGCCUCGGCGACUGGCCACUUGAAAAAGAAGAAGAAUAAGAGAAAAGGGGAAAAAAGAAAAGAAAAAAAUAAGUAAAAAGUAAAAAAAAUUAUUUAAAAAUUAAAAGAAAUUGAUUUGGAAUAUAAUCAAUGAGCAAAGUACCAAACACAACUCUAUUCCAAAAUCUGAAAUUUUGAACAAUUACCAAAUGACUUAAAAUGCUUAGAAAUUGUUUCCGGAAACAUAAUAAAAAAGAAUAAUUUUUUAUCAGAAUCUGUUACCGAGAAUAGAAUCGUUACCAAAUGCGUCCUAAGUAGCUGCAAGAUGGAGUUAAAAUAGGAAACGUUUACGUUAUUUAAAAUAGGAAAUAUUUACAAAGUUCCACGUGGGAUUAAAUUGUAAAUGGGAAACGGGCUUGUGUUUAUAUUAGGAAAUUUUUACCUUCUCCAAUCAAAUUUGAAAUGUUUCCCUUUUUAAAGAUAAAUGAUACUUACCCAUUUCUUGCGAGCAUCGUUAAUACGAGUGCGUGCCGUUAGCAAUUAAAUAAUUUCCUCCUAUUGAAGAAUUUAUGAAGGAUCUGGCAUGAGACACUUGUACAUGUAAAAGAAAAUCAUGGCCAUUCUUGGAAUGCUAUUUAUUCGAGAAUUUUUUUUCUAGAUUUCGACAUGUAUAUUUUAGACAUAAGUCAUUCUCCAUUCAUCUGGCUAUGUUUUCAUUUUAUAAUGAGACUAACAAAGUUCUAUUAUAAGUUGGGAUUUUGCUAAGGAGGGCUGCUUGCCGUUUGGUGAUAAUUUAUGAAUGUUUCGUACCAAUGUAAUGGAGCUCAAAGAAACUAAGGGCGUGCAUGGAAACGUUUCUUAGAAACGUUUCCGGAACACUUCUGUACGGAAAGUGUUCCCGGGAACAAAAAAGGAACAGAAACGCGUUUGGUUGCGUUUCUGUUCUUUUUUUGUUUUUUUGUUUCUGGAACGAAAUAAGAACAAAAAAAAGAAACAACAAUUUGUUGUUUCUUGCUCCAGAAACAUUUCUUGAAGAAACAUUUCUCUUCUCUCUCUUCUUCUUCUCUUCUUCUUUUCUUCUUUUUUUUCUUCUUUUUUCUUUCGCCGGUCGCCGGCCUCGGCCAUGGCCGGCGACCGGCCGUCGAGGCGAGCCUCGCCGGAUCUGGGUGAGCCCGAGCUCGCCCAGCCAAGGCGAGGCUCAGCCUCACCCGCGCCGGCGACGCCCCCGUCGGCAGGUCGCCGGAGGCCGGUGACCGGCCGAAAAAAAGAAAAAAUAAAAAGAAAGGAAAAAAUAAAUAAUAAAAUAAAAAUGUUUAAAAAAUUAAAAGAAACAUAAAAAGAAUAAAAUUUACCAAACGUGUUUCUAUUCAUUUUUUAUUCCCGGACCAAACGUUACCAAACGCGUUCUUUUGUUCAAAAAUUGUUCCCCGGAACAGAAACACUUUUUUUUGUUUCUAUUUCCAGGAACAAAAAAGAAACAGAAUUGUUUCCAUGCGCAGCCUAAAAUUCUCAAUCCAAAUUCAAAUUCAAAUUCAAAUUCCUCCUUUGCGCCUCCAAUUUUAGAUUGUAUUAUUGGAAUGAAAUAUCACCUAUAAGAGUAUGAUUAUGAUGAUAUUGAUCUUACAACAUUUUGACAUAGGAGAAUUACAGAUUAUACUAGCGUGCUACUAAAAGAAAGUACCUCAAGUGCUACACUUCGAUUUUUUUGGAUAGUUAGAACUUUUUAGUUUCGCGUGAAAUUUUCAAUACCACCUCCCGAUUGUGUUAAUAAAACAAAUUGAAAGUGAGUUUUAUGUUUGUUGUAUCAAGCCUAAAUCAUCAACUUUUUCAAAUUUUAAUUGACCAACUAACCAAAUUUUGUCAAAUGAAUUGAUAAUUGGUUAAAUUAUAUUGGCCCCGCGCAGAGCUAUUGGUCCCAGCUAUGGUUGAAUCCAUAUCGGAAGAUAUGAAAAUCCGGAAGCCACUGAAUUAACUCAAAUUGCAUAUGAAUACAAAAUAUUACAAGGAUUAGCCAAAAUAAUAAUAACAGAAAUAAAAGUACCAUCAUCAAAUGAAAUUCGAACUAUGGUGGUAGGUACUUAUUUGGCCAAAUAUAAAGAAAAUUGGAAACAGUCGCUCAUUGAAUAUUAAAAGAUCAGAGUCAAUGAAGGGACAAAAAACUCAAAAGACAAACAUUAAAAUAUGUCAUGCAUGUGAAUCUAGAUGGUUUGGAUGGAAUUUGAGCAUCGGCACUAAAGCAUACUGUCAUGCAAAAGAAAGGAGUCGCCUAGGCUUACAACAACAAAUACGUUAAAAUUGACUAAAGUACAGCCCAAACACCAAAACUUGGUACGAGGGACACUUAAGUGCCAAAAGUUUUGAAAAAUACAAUUAAGUACCAAAAUCAGAGUAAAAUGGAUCAUUUAAGUGCUAAUCCGACUAAAUUGCUAACGUAACAAUUUUCCGGCAAGGUGAGUGCAAAACGGCGUCGUUUUGCAUGCUGACGUGGCUAGAAAAUGCAAAAACGACAUCGUCUUGUCUCUGAUGUGGCAAAUAAUUAAUGUAAAAAUUAAAUUAAAAAUUAAAUUUAUUUUAAAUAUUUUUAAAAAUAAAAAACUUAAAAUAAAAUUUGGGGGGGGGGGGGAAGGGAGGCGGCUGAGGGCUAAGCCCUCACUGCCAUCGCCUCCCCGCUACUGCCAGGAAGGGUUGGCGACGGAGGGGGUGAGAAAUCGAGGAUGCAGAUGAAGAAGAAUGAAAUCGGAUGAUGAUGAUGGAAAAUGAACUUAGCAGGAGAAGGAUCUGUACAAGAAAUGUUCUCUCUUUAUAUCUUUGUAUCAAAAUCUCAUAUUUGUUCCAAGUAUCGAAAGCAACAAAGCAAUACAAAUCCUCUGUUCUUCCUCUCUCCUCUGUUCUGGUUAUCUGUUCCUAUCUCUAGACGAGCUUAAUUCUUUCUAUAUAUAUCAUACGAAGAGAAGCUAGAAAUCCCAAUAACAGAAAAAACGAACUAACAGACUUUUACAGCUAUUUACAACAGAAUAGCAACUUGUUAACAAAUCAAGCUUGGCGAUCCAUGUCUUCUACAUUAUAUAAUCUUCACCGUUGAUUAGUCUGGCUAUCCGUGCCUUCUGCAUCAACUCAUGUCAGUCUUCUGGCGAUCCGUGUCUUCCAUUGUUGAUCAUCAGCUGACUUUAGAUGUAGUAGAGUAAGAUAAGGAUCUUGAUCCUUUAACAGGGGGAGGGUCGGCCGGAGUCGCCGGCCCCUGGCCGAUUGACGGCGAGGGUCGGCGGCCCUCACCUGGUCGAGCCAAGGGCCGCCGCCCGCUGGGGCGACCCCUCAACAAGCAAUGACCCUUGGCCUGCCCGGGCAAGGGCCGCCGACCCUUGCCCCAGAUCCGAUGAGGGCUCGCAAGCCCUCGUCACAAGUCAACCAGGGGCCAACAAUUUGGGCGAGGGUCGCAACCCUCGCCGCCGGUCGACCAAGGGCCAAUGACCCCGACAGACCCUCCCCCUCCGUCGCCGGCCCUUCCCGAUGAGGGCUCAACCCUCAGCUGCCUCCCUUCAAUCCCCUUUUUUAAAAAAAAAAUAUUUUAAAUAAAUUUAGUCUUAAAUUUAAUUUAAUUAAUUUUUAUAUUAAUUAUUUUCUACAUCAUAGUCAAAACGACGACGUUUUUGCAUUUUCUAGCCACAUCAGCGUGCAAAAUGGCGCCGUUUUACACUCAUCUCGCCAGAAAAUUGUCACGUCAGCAAUUUAACCAGAUUGGCACUUAACUGAUCAAUUUUGCUCCAAUUUUAGCACUUAAGUGUACCUUUCGAAUCUUUUGACACUUUAAAUAUCCCUCUGUAUCAAGUUUUGGCACUCGGGGUAUACUUUAGUCCUUUAAAAUUAAACUAUUGCCAUUGGUGAUUUGGUAUGUAGACUUUUUUGCGUGUUAAUUGCAAAAGCGAUUAAUUCGAUAAGCAUUCGCCAACUUCAGAAAGGCCCAUAGUCGGUGCUAAAUGUGCUAAGUGGCAAUGCCUAUCGAUUGAUGGACUUGGAUGGUGAAAUAUUACCACAACCGAUUAAUGGCAAGUACCUAAAAAGUUUCUUAUCCAACUAUGUGACAGAUGCAAGAGAUAUAGGAGAAAUGAAACAUACAGCUUCUUCAAACAGACAGUCGAGAUGUAAAGAGAGCUAGCUAGAUUACUAUGUAUUCCGGAUCAUCAAUCAACUUCUUCACACUUCUCCUGAAAUCCGAAAGGUCUUCAUCCAAUGUCUUGUUAUUAGCAACACAUACUCUUCUGAUGGAUAAAUGCCUGUCGACUUCCGUUUGUUGUCGAUCAUAUUCCUGCAUGGUUGUGACGACAUCCCGAAGCUGUUGCUUCAUAGACCUCCCUUCACGCUGAACU